rnacentral:rRNA from 1 species
UGAACGCUGGCGGCGUGCUUAACACAUGCAAGUCGAACGAGGGUUGCUGGUUGAAGUUUCGGAUGGAAACCGGUAAUUCCUAGUGGCGGACGGGUGAGUAACGCGUGGGGAACCUGCCCCGCUCCGGGGGAUACCAGCUGGAAACGGCUGUUAAUACCGCAUAAGCGCACAGUAUCGCAUGAUGCAGUGUGAAAAACUCCGGUGGAACGGGAUGGCCCCGCGUCUGAUUAGCCAGUUGGCAGGGUAACGGCCUACCAAAGCGACGAUCAGUAGCCGGCCUGAGAGGGCGACCGGCCACAUUGGGACUGAGACACGGCCCAAACUCCUACGGGAGGCAGCAGUGGGGAAUAUUGCACAAUGGGGGAAACCCUGAUGCAAGCGACGCCGCGUGAGUGAGGAAGUAUUUCGGUAUGUAAAGCUCUAUCAGCAGGGAAGAAGAUGACGGUACCUGCACAAGAAGCCCCGGCUAACUACGUGCCAGCCGCGGC